rnacentral:rRNA from 1 species
UACGUAGGUGGCAAGCGUUGUCCGGAUUUACUGGGCGUAAAGCGCACGUAGGCGGAUUGUUAAGUCGGGGGUGAAAUCCUGGAGCUCAACUCCAGAACUGCCCUCGAAACUGGCGAUCUUGAGUUCGGGAGAGGUGAGUGGAACUGCGAGUGUAGAGGUGAAAUUCGUAGAUAUUCGCAAGAACACCAGUGGCGAAGGCGGCUCACUGGCCCGAUACUGACGCUGAGGUGCGAAAGCGUGGGGAGCAAACAGG